GCAUCGCCAAGAUAGGUUUAUCGAUAGAUUGUGGAAAGUCUUGGUUACCGUUUCUGGCCUGAAAAAAGAGAAAAAAAGAAAAAAGCCUUCGUCUUGUCUUAUUUUAUUUUGCAUUUUAUUUUAUUUUAUUUUUACUUUAUAUCUAUAUCUAUAUCUAUUUGUUGUAUUCUUUUUUGAAUUUUUACGCUCCCGUGACAGGGAAUAAAUAGGCUUUUGCAUAUGAUUAUCAGACUCAUCGUGAGUUUGCCACAGACGAAGAAUCCAUGUUUGGAGAGAGGGCAUUGACACCAGGCUUGACCCGACGACGACACAGCUUAACCUAUGCUAAAUCUACAUUCAGUAUAUGAUCACGUCCGUGUUUUGUUCCGCUACCCGCGUUUCCCUUCCCACCCGUAAGUAACAUCCGUACGCAGCGGAACGACAACAGCCGGCUUUCUCAGAAAAAGGCUCCUUGCAACCCUGCGGGUUCUGGACACACAAGAGCUAUGGGAGGGAAAUGCAAGAGCCAGGUAAUGAUGGUGGGAUGUGGGAUGUGGGAUGUUUGGUUUACCCAGCCAGAGAGUUGAUUGAGGUUUAAGCUCCAGGAACGGAACCGGGCAAUCCAGAGUUCAGCAGAGCUUAUGCCGACUGCACCUAUUCCAAGGCGUAUUUCUUAUUUUCUUGUUCUUUGCUUUUUCCGGUUUUUUUUCUUCUUUUUUCUUUUCCUGCUUCCGUGGAGGCUUGUGCUGUUCGUGAGCUAUUUUUGGAUACGCAUUGUAUGCAUUUUAGCGCUGGGAAGGGAGAGAGAGAGAAGAUAAGAUGGUCAUGGGCGAUAGAGAGAUAGGCGCUGGCUGGGUGGGCCAGCAAGAAAAUCUCGGGCGGGAGAGCGACAAUUGAUUUCAGCAUGUAAGGUUUUGCCAAAGCUUUUGCAUCCUGCGGUUUGGUUGCGGCGCUUUUUCGACGAUUGAUUUUCUGCGAUUCCUAACUCCAUUCUCUUCGGGGGGCUGGACCUCCAGCACGCCCACUGGAAUCCACGUAACUUAAUACGGCCAACUUGAGCAUGUAAUUGCGUAUGUAUGUAUGGAUGUAAGUAACUAUGUAUGGGCUGUACGAUACCUAUACGCAGUUGUCGAAUCAGUAGAAAUCAGUAUGACAUUAUAAUACAGCCU
rnacentral:sRNA from 2 species